rnacentral:rRNA from 1 species
GAUGAACGCUAGCGGCAGGCCUAACACAUGCAAGUCGAGGGGUAGAACACUUCGGUGUUUGAGACCGGCGCACGGGUGCGUAACGCGUAUGCAAUCUACCUUAUACAGGGGAAUAGCCCAGAGAAAUUUGGAUUAAUGCCCCAUAGCAUUACGACUUGGCAUCAAGAUGUAAUUAAAGUUCCAACGGUAUAAGAUGAGCAUGCGUCCCAUUAGUUAGUUGGUAAGGUAACGGCUUACCAAGACAAUGAUGGGUAGGGGUCCUGAGAGGGAGAUCCCCCACACUGGUACUGAGACACGGACCAGACUCCUACGGGAGGCAGCAGUGAAGAAUAUUGGUCAAUGGUCGCAAGACUGAACCAGCCAUGCCGCGUGCAGGAAGACGGUCCUAUGGAUUGUAAACUGCUUUUAUACAGGAAGAAACCCUCCCACGUGUGGGAGCUUGACGGUACUGUAGGAAUAAGGAUCGGCUAACUCCGUGCCAGCCGCCGCCGUAAAAC